rnacentral:rRNA from 1 species
GACGGAGGAUGCAAGUGUUUAUCCGGAAUCACUGGGCGUAAAGCGUCUGUAGGUGGUCAAAUAAGUCAACUGUUUAAAUCUUUGAGGCUCAACCUCAAAAUCGCAGUCGAAACUAUUUAGACUAGAGUAUAGUAGGGGUAAAGGGAAUUUUCCAGUGGAGCGGUGAAAUGCGUAGAUAUUGGAAAGACCACCAAUGGCGAAGGCACUCUACUGGGCCACAACUGACACUGAGAGACGAAAAGCUAGGGGAGCAAACAGG